ensembl:lncRNA
AGCACACAAGGUAGAUCCCUUGCAUGUGCAGUUUACAAUAGGCUUCGUGCACCUAUGAGAAUCUAAUGUCUCUGCCGAUCUAACAAGAAGUGGAGCUCAGGUGGUAACGCUGGUCUGCCUGCCGCUCCCCUCCUGUUGUGCCACAGGGCUCCUAAUGCUAACGGUGGAGGGUAUCCAGGUUCUUGGCGUCUUGAACAAAGAAUUAGACAAAAUGCACAAGCAAAGCAAGGACGGAAUGAAGGGAUUUAUUGAAAACAAAUGUACACUCCACAGUGUGAUUGGGCCUGAGCAUAGAGGCUCGAAGGCCCUGUUACAGAAUUUUUUGUGAGUUUAAAUACCCUCUAUUUGGGGUAUGCCCUAUGUAAAUGAAGAGGAUGAAGUAAAGUUACAAAGUCAUUUGCUCAGUGUAUGCCCUAUGGAGAGGAUAUUUCCUGUUGUAGCUGAAGUGUGAAUGCGCUUUAUGUUCCCGGCUCCCAGACCCUAUUUUCCUGCCUCACUAACAGGCCAGGGUCCAGUACAGGUGCGCUGUCUGAGGAGUUGGGGACCCCUCCUUUAAAUAAUUUAAAGUUUACAUUGUAAUAAGGGUGGGAGAGAGGGUUGGAAUGUCCUUCACAUGAGGCCGAUGGCACCUGCCUACUGCGAAGCUGGUUGGGGUGCUGGGGGUACAGUGGGGCAGGUGUAACCUCUUUGCCUCAUUUUCCCCUGCACUGUCCAGACAUCUCCUGGACUGCCUGCACCAUCAAGAUCUGGACUUCAGAGCAAUCUUUGACCACCUGUGGGAAAUCGUUACAACAGUUGCAAUGCACAAAUACGCAAAAGCCCUAUGAACCAGAGCAUGGUGUGGGUUGAUGUGUUGGACAGACCUAUAGAUCCCAAUGAAGAGUUGCACAGCCACAGACUUCUCUGCACAGAGUGGGAACUACAAGUCUCUUAUUGGUACAGCAAGAAACAAAACAUAUGUGCUAGAAUAUUCUGUAGUUAAUCCUAUAGAAAAAGCAAUGGAACUUAAAUCUACUAAUAUUUCACUUAAAACAUGGUUUCAGUAGAUGAGAGACUUAUAUACAAACCACAUCCUCAGGACACAGAAAAAAAUUAUUUUGACUCAGGAAGCCAUAAUCACUGAAAGGAGGCAGCCUCAACAGUUACCUUGAAGAACUGAUGGCAAGAACGAUAUUUUCAAAUGCUAACAAAGGCCGGGAAGCCCUGGAAUGGGUCAUACAUAAAAUACAUGUUAAAUAAUGAAUUGAUAGCUUCCACAAAAGGAGGCAUAAGAACUCUGGUGGUGGCUGCCACAGCCUUUGUAGUGAAUUGAUAAUGAAUGCAUAUAGACAAGUACCCCACAUCUCUCCAAGCUGGCAAUAUAUUUAUUUUAAAACUAUAAACAUAUUUUAAGUAGAAUUUUUUAAAAGUAGGCUGAUAUAAGACAGUGACUUUAGAUCAAAACAAAGAAAUGCAUGGUGUCUAAAUAAAAGGGAUCAUCUGAAAUUAGUGUUGUUUGAAAUGACUGUCUAAUAGUGGAGAUUCCAGUAUUUAUGAAACAUUUAACAAAUUUUUUGAAAGAAAUUCUUCUUCUUAAGGUUUAUUUUAAAUUCAGGGUACAUAUGCAGGUUUGUGAUUUCGGUAAAUUUGUGUCAUAGGAGUUUGUUGUACACAUU